GUACGGCCGCAAGGUUAAAACUCAAAUGAAUUGACGGGGGCCCGCACAAGCGGUGGAGCAUGUGGUUUAAUUCGAUGCAACGCGAAGAACCUUACCUGGUCUUGACAUCCACGGAAGUUUUCAGAGAUGAGAAUGUGCCUUCGGGAACCGUGAGACAGGUGCUGCAUGGCUGUCGUCAGCUCGUGUUGUGAAAUGUUGGGUUAAGUCCCGCAACGAGCGCAACCCUUAUCCUUUGUUGCCAGCGGUCCGGCCGGGAACUCAAAGGAGACUGCCAGUGAUAAACUGGAGGAAGGUGGGGAUGACGUCAAGUCAUCAUGGCCCUUACGACCAGGGCUACACACGUGCUACAAUGGCGCAUACAAAGAGAAGCGACCUCGCGAGAGCAAGCGGACCUCAUAAAGUGCGUCGUAGUCCGGAUUGGAGUCUGCAACUCGACUCCAUGAAGUCGGAAUCGCUAGUAAUCGUGGAUCAGAAUGC
rnacentral:rRNA from 1 species